rnacentral:lncRNA from 1 species
AUGAUGCAAUCUCUCCACUAUGAUGAAACGGGUUCGAGUGGCAAAGUCUGCAGAGAGACCACCUCUUCCCACCCUAAAAGGCAGAAAAUAAUGCAACUCGCAGCUGUACAAAGCAGCAGCCCGCCUGCGCCGGGCUCCCCCGGCAGCCAGGCUGGUGCCUUUCCCUGGGACAGGGGUGCGAGUUUCUGGGACGGCAGGAGGAGGGUUUGGUUCCGGGGGAUCUCAGCCGGGGUUUUUGCCCCUUCAGAGCCCGAGCGAGCCCCGCACGGCGCGGCGGUGCCGGGGCCGAGGGGACGCAGCCUCCGCUUGAUGCUCGGGCUCGCAGCCUUUCCCGUGCCCUUCUCCCGCCCGGCCAAGAAAACGACCGAGACUUCACGUCUUUUUCCUCGCCCCUGGGCUGGAAAAGCUCCCAGCAAGCCCACAGCUUUGCCUGCUAGCACUGAGCCCGGAGCAGCGGAGCCUCGGCAGAAAAAAAAUAAAAUAAAAAAGCCCCUUUCUGUGCCCAGCCCUUCCCCUCCCUCCAUCCCUCCCAGCCCACGGAGCUGGGCAGGGGGAUGCUUCCCGGGGGCAGCAGGAGCCGUCCUACCUUGCGAGCCGUCCUCGCCGCGGCUGCCGGCACAAAGCGGGCUCCGCGCAGCACCGGGGGCGGGCGCAGCCCCGCGGAGCGCAGCCAGCGCCGCGCCGGGGCGGGAGCGGGAGAAGGAGGAGGAGGAGGAGGAGAAGGAGGAGAGUGGGGGACAAGGGAGGGGACAGGGCCGGGGAGGAGCCAGCGGAACAAAGGCCCCCGGUACGGGAUUUGGGGAGGGGGGGCAGGUGCGCGGUUGCCCCCAUUGUAAGGGGAGCGGGGCGCAGCACGCCCCGGGCAGGGCAGCCCCAGGCGGCCCCGCUGCCAGGCUGCUCGCACCCUGGGGGAGGGAGGCUGCCCCCAGCUCCCGGGAAAGCGCCGCAGCUCGGUCCUUUCCCUUCCCUAGUCCUGGUCCUGGUGCCGGCCGGGUGAUGCUCUGCUCCGGCUGUCGGCUGCGGGGCACACCGAGCACGUUGCCAUCUGUCUAA